rnacentral:misc_RNA from 1 species
GAGAAGAACGCAGCGAAAUGCGAUAAGUAAUGUGAAUUGCAGAAUUCAGUGAAUCAUCGAAUCUUUGAACGCACAUUGCGCCCGCCAGUAUUCUGGCGGGCAUGCCUGUUCGAGCGUCAUUUCAACCCUCAAGCCCCCGGGCUUGGUGUUGGGGAUCGGCGUGCCCUCGCGGCGCGCCGUCCCCUAAAUCUAGUGGCGGUCUCGCUGUAGCUUCCUCAGCGUAGUAGCAACACUCGCACUGGAUCGCAGCGCGGCCACGCCGUUAAACCCCCCACUUCUGAAAGUUUGACCUCGGAUCAGGUAGGAAUACCCGCUGAACUUAAGCAUAUCAAUAAGCGGAGGA